rfam:Parcubacteria group bacterium CG1_02_41_12 cg1_0.2_scaffold_1665_c, whole genome shotgun sequence.
UAGGCAGAUUAGGCAAUCGCCCGCCGAUUCGGCGGGAGGAAAGUCCGAACACUAAAUCACGCAAGUGAUAAAAGCAGUCGGUAACUCCAACCAGUAUAAAAAAGUGAUCAAAACUUCUCGAGAGUUUUUAUCAGUUUUGAAGCUAGGGCAAGUGCAACAGAAAGUACACAGCCGAUGAUUCGUCUUUGACGAAAACAGGCAAUGGUGAAACCGCGGUGUAAGAGACCACGCGUUUGCAUGGCGACAUGCAAAAAGAGGCAAACCCUGCUUUAGUGAAAGAGCAAAUUUGGUAGCUCGUUACUACGGUCCAUAGCUUUAUGCGAAGGAUGGUUAGAAUCAUACAGCAAUGCAUGAUCUAGAUAGAUGAUUGCCACCGGCCCGCCGAUUCGGCGGGCUGGACACAAAAUUCGGCUUAUCGAUUUGCCUGUCCA